rnacentral:rRNA from 1 species
CACGGGGGGAGCAAGCGUUGUUCGGAAUCACUGGGCGUAAAGGGCGUGUAGGCGGUCAGGUAAGUGGGAUGUGAAAUGCCCCGGCUCACCCGGGGACCGGCAUCCCAAACUGCUUGGCUUGAGUAUGGGAGAGGAUGAGGGAAUUCCUGGUGUAGCGGUGAAAUGCGUAGAUAUCAGGAGGAACACCGGUGGCGAAAGCGACUUCCUGGACCAGUAACCGACGUUCGAGGCAACGGAAAGCGUGGGGAGCAAACAGG